UACGUAGGGUGCGAGCGUUAAUCGGAAUUACUGGGCGUAAAGCGUGCGCAGGCGGCUUUGCAAGACAGAGGUGAAAUCCCCGGGCUCAACCUGGGAACUGCCUUUGUGACUGCAAGGCUAGAGUACGGCAGAGGGGGAUGGAAUUCCGCGUGUAGCAGUGAAAUGCGUAGAUAUGCGGAGGAACACCAAUGGCGAAGGCAAUCCCCUGGGCCUGUACUGACGCUCAUGCACGAAAGCGUGGGGAGCAAAC
rnacentral:rRNA from 2 species